AGCAGCCGCGGUAAUUCCAGCUCCAAUAGCGUAUAUUAAAGUUGUUGCAGUUAAAAAGCUCGUAGUUGAAUUUCGGGAUCAAUAUGUCGGUCGUGCCUUGGUACGUACUGGUAUCAUUGGUCUCUCCUUUCUGACGAACCAUGAUGUCAUUAAUUUGGUGUUAUGGGAAGUUAGGACUGUUACUUUGAAAAAAUUAGAGUGUUUAAAGCAGGCUUUAGCUUGAAUACAUUAGCAUGGAAUAAUGAAAUAGGACGUUCGAACCUAUUUUGUUGGUUUCUAGGAUCAACGUAAUGAUUAAUAGGGAUAGUUGGGGGCAUUAGUAUUCAAUUGUCAGAGGUGAAAUUCUUGGAUUUAUUGAAGACUAACUACUGCGAAAGCAUUUGCCAAGGAUGUUUUCAUUAAUCAAGAACGAAAGUUAGGGGAUCGAAGACGAUCAGAUACCGUCGUAGUCUUAACCAUAAACUAUGCCGACU
rnacentral:rRNA from 1 species